rnacentral:lncRNA from 1 species
GCAUAUCAUAAGGGAACAUGUGUUCGUGUUGCCUCUGUAACUCCGUAGUCAUAGAGGACAACAUCACACAUUGUGCCGAUGUUGCAUCCUCGACAUGCUUCUUGUGAGCAGCUUCAUCAAAUGAUGCAUACUCAGCAGACUGCUUGUCAGGAAUGACAGUGAUUGGGUUGUCCAAGACAUACUCAAUCUUCUCUAGCCUUAAGACCAGACGCAAGC